AGAGUUUGAUCAUGGCUCAGAGUGAACGUUGGCGGCGUGCCUAAUACAUGCAAGUCGAACGAAAACCAGGGAGCUUGCUUCCUGGCGAAAGUGGCGAACGGGUGAGUAACACGUGAGUAAUCUGCCCUUGAGUGGGGAAUAACUCCGCGAAAGCGGGGCUAAUACCGCAUAAUAUUCUGGUGCAUACGCAUUCAGAAUCAAAGCCCUCAGGCGCUUAAGGAUGAGCUUGCGCCUUAUUAGCUUGUUGGUAGGGUAACGGCCUACCAAGGCUUUGAUGAGUAGCCGGCCUGAGAGGGUGAUCGGCCACACUGGGACUGCGACACGGCCCAGACUCCUACGGGAGGCAGCAGUAGGGAAUUUUGCGCAAUGAGCGAAAGCUUGACGCAGCGACGCCGCGUGGAGGAUGAAGGCCUUCGGGUUGUAAACUCCUGUCAGAGGUGAAGAAUGCACUUCGGUGUUUGACGGUAACCUCAGAGGAAGCCCCGGCUAACUACGUGCCAGCAGCCGCGGUAAUACGUAGGGGGCUAACGUUGCUCGGAAUUACUGGGCGUAAAGGGUGUCUAGGUGGCUGUGCAAGUCGAAGAUGAAAUCCCAUGGCUCAACCAUGGAAUGGUCUUCGAAACUGCGCAGCUUGAGGAUGGUUGAGGAAGACGGAAUUCCCGGUGGAGCGGUGAAAUGCGUAGAUAUCGGGAGGAACACCAGAGGCGAAGGCGGUCUUCUGAGUCAUUCCUGACACUGAAGCACGAAAGCUAGGGGAGCGAACGGGAUUAGAUACCCCGGUAGUCCUAGCUGUAAACGAUGGGCACUAGAUGUUUCUGCUUUAUGCGGGAGUGUCGAAGUUAACGCAUUAAGUGCCCCGCCUGGGGAGUACGGUCGCAAGGCUGAAACUCAAAGGAGUUGA
rnacentral:rRNA from 1 species